UAAGCAAUUAUACCGUGAAACUGCGAAUGGCUCAUUAAAUCAGUUAUCGUUUAUUUGAUAGUACCUUACUACUUGGAUAACCGUGGUAAUUCUAGAGCUAAUACAUGCUAAAAACCCCGACUUCGGGAGGGGUGUAUUUAUUAGAUAAAAAACCAAUGCCCUUCGGGGCUCCUUGGUGAAUCAUAAUAACUUAACGGAUCGCAUGGCCUUGCGCCGGCGACGGUUCAUUCAAAUUUCUGCCCUAUCAACUUUCGAUUGUAGGGUAUUGGCCUACAAUGGUAUCAACGGGUAACGGGGAAUUAGGGUUCGAUUCCGGAGAGGGAGCCUGAGAAACGGCUACCACAUCCAAGGAAGGCAGCAGGCGCGCAAAUUACCCAAUCCCGACACGGGGAGGUAGUGACAAUAAAUACUGAUACAGGGCUCUUUUGGGUCUUGUAAUUGGAAUGAGUACAAUUUAAAUCCCUUAACGAGGAACAAUUGGAGGGCAAGUCUGGUGCCAGCAGCCGCGGUAAUUCCAGCUCCAAUAGCGUAUAUUAAAGUUGUUGCAGUUAAAAAGCUCGUAGUUGAACCUUGGGUCUGGCUGGCCGGUCCGCCUCACCGCGUGCACUGGUCCGGCCGGACCUUUCCUUCUGGAGAACCGCAUGCCCUUCACUGGGUGUGCCGGGGAACCAGGACUUUUACUUUGAAAAAAUUAGAGUGUUCAAAGCAGGCCUUUGCUCGAAUACAUUAGCAUGGAAUAAUAGAAUAGGACGUGCGGUCCUAUUUUGUUGGUUUCUAGGACCGCCGUAAUGAUUAAUAGGGAUAGUCGGGGGCAUCAGUAUUCAAUUGUCAGAGGUGAAAUUCUUAGAUUUAUUGAAGACUAACUACUGCGAAAGCAUUUGCCAAGGAUGUUUUCAUUAAUCAGUGAACGAAAGUUAGGGGAUCGAAGACGAUCAGAUACCGUCGUAGUCUUAACCGUAAACUAUGCCGACUAGGGAUCGGGCGAUGUUAUUCUUUUGACUCGCUCGGCACCUUACGAGAAAUCAAAGUUUUUGGGU
rnacentral:rRNA from 1 species